UACCAGCACCCCGAGUGGUCGGGACGAUUAUUGGGCCUAAAGCAUCCGUAGCCGGUUCUACAAGUCUUCCGUUAAAUCCACCUGCUCAACAGUUGGGCUGCGGAGGAUACUAUAGAGCUAGGAGGCGGGAGAGGCAAGCGGUACUUAGUGGGUAGGGGUAAAAUCCGUUGAUCCAUUGAAGACCACCAGUGGCGAAGGCGGCUUGCCAGAACGCACUCGACGGUGAGGGAUGAAAGCUGGGGGAGCAAGCCGG
rnacentral:rRNA from 1 species